GAAAAUGAUGACUGGGCUGUGCUCUCUACUUCCUGUGGUUAUUGCGUGAUUCUAAAGCUGCCACUCGGAACAGCGAGUCCUCUGGCGUCGAGAGCAGGGAGGGGUAGGGUGGACAGGCGAUGCCGUGGAAAGACGUCUCGGUGGAAACUGCCGUGGUGGAAAGGUGGCACGCUUCUCACGGCUGAGUUGCUGCGCCUGCAGACGGAAGCUCCCCACAGGCAGAGCUGCUUGGAUGUGUGAGUCAUGAAGCCAGAGAAGCCCCACUCCACGAGCAGUGACUCCCCAGGUUACCAGGUGACAGGGGUGUUUAUGAAGAACUGGGACUCACUGGAUGAACAUGGGGUCUGUACUGCCGACAAAGACUGUGAAGAUGCUUACAGAGUUUGCCAGAUCUUAGACAUCCCUUUCCAUCAAGUGUCCUACGUAAAGGAGUAUUGGAAUGAUGUGUUCAGGGGCAGAUGCCAUUGCCACAGGUCACUAUGCAAGAACUUCCCUGGAAGAUGAAGAAGUCUUUGAGCAGAAGCACGUUAAGAAGCCCGAAGGGCUUUUCAGAAAUCGGUUUGAAGUUAGAAAUGCCAGGUUUCCCAGGAUGCCCUGAGGAGAACCAUCUUCCCUCUGGGGGGAUUAACGAAAGAGUUUGUAAAGAAAAUCGCUGCUGAGAAUAGACUUCAUCAUGUGCUUCAGAAGAAAGAGAGCAUGGGCAUGUGUUUCAUCGGGAAGAGGAAUUUUGAACAUUUCCUUCUUCAGUAUUUGCAGCCUCGACCUGGUCACUUUAUUUCCAUAGAAGACAAUAAGGUUCUGGGAACACAUAAAG
rnacentral:sRNA from 1 species